CAUCUGCAGGAUGUACUGAGCAAGCUCAAAAACCGCCCCAUGACCCGCUGGUCUCUGACAGGUGAAGUCAGCUGCAAUGAGACGUGACACGGGUGCAUCAGGAGACACUCCAGAUCUUUCUUCUCCAUCACGAGUCUAAUGUGACAGCCUGUCUGCUUAGAAAUGGUCUUCAGCAAAUCUUUGGACACCAUCUCAUUCACAUUAGAUAUAAGAAUCACCUAGUAAGAAACAGUAAAAUGAUGUAGUCACGUAAUCUACUAUGAACCUUUGUCCCAAAAAUAAAUUGCGCUGUACACUAACCUGUUAAUUAAUGAAGCAAGUGAAGUGUUUUGGUAUUUUUCAACAUGAGUUAUACUGUAAAGCUGUGUCUGAAACCGUUCCCUCGUUCACUCAUUCAUUAUUCCCUAUAUGGGGAAUGACAAUUGAGUCCACUAUAUGGGGAAGAAGCAAAUGAAAAUGAUUUCGGACACUGACGCAAAUAUCAUGCGUCAGAGAGCUGUCGCAGAGAUUCAUCAAAAACACCUGUGUGGCUUUAUUGAUUGUGCUGUGAAAUGGUAAAGUUUACUUUCUUACUGUUUUUCACAUUUGUCAUGUUUAUUGUAUUAGUUGAUAAUAAAGAGAACAAAACAACUGCUUAUAAUAUUUAUUUACUGCUGUUUAUUUAUUGUUUAAUAAAAAUGUGUAUUAGAUUUUAAAUAAAAGAUAACGCAAUUA